rnacentral:lncRNA from 1 species
GUUUAAACAGCUUUGGGUGGACAAAGUGUUGUCAGUUGGAGGAGAGCUUUCAGCAGUGCUGAACCAUGUGGCCCCCUAUUAACCCUCAGGGUAUUUCUCUGUAGGGAGAGAAGGCAAACCCCAGGUUGGUGCAGCCCCAAGUGCCCAGCCAAGACAGAAGAGCUUUCUUCUCACUGCUUUGAAUGCUGCUGUGGAGUACUGUGAUGUUUCCUGGGAGUGGCUCUCAGGAGACCCCAAGCUUUAAAUCCCCCGUUGCCUCCAUCUCUGCCAAAGCCCCCGUGUGCUCCUGGGCUUUUUUGCUCAGCUGAGUUUUCACAAAGGUUUGGCUCAAUUCCCUGCAAACCAGCCUUCCCCCAGGCAUCCACCAGGCCUUAGGGAGAGGCUCUGCUUCGUUUCUUCACACCACGCCUUUUAAUCUACAGCCAGAGCAGGAACCAAAGUGGAAAAACACAGCAAUUGCACAGGGGCCGCUGCAGCAGGUGCCUGCGGGAGCCUGUUCCUAUGAGCCCUCGGGCACUGGGAUUUGCAGAUUUAGGCAAUUCUGGGCUCUUGGAUGCUCUUUGUGGAGAAGUUUGUGAACGUGGGAGUGUUUGUGUGAACUCCAACCCUUCCUCAGAGCUGGGCUGUCAGUCAGCAGCGCUGGCAUCAAAUGUGCAUCCCCACAUCAAAGCCCUGCUGACUUCCGAUGAAGGGAAACAAGGGAAAACAGAUUCUUGGUGCGUGUUGUUUAUUUUAACGUGUUUUUAGUGUUUGAUUGAUUUCUUUUCCAGCAGCAAGCCUGAGGGGGGGAUGGUUUGCUUUAUCAGGAAAUGAGGAUAAACUUACCCAAGCAAGCUCAGGCUAUGCAGGCAGGUGCUGUCUCCAUGCUAACUGUCCCCAAGCAAAGGCUGAGGCUGGGGUCAAGCCCUAGGGCUGCACUCUGCUGCCAUCACAGAGACAUAGAAUACCCUGAGUGGAAAGGGAGCCAUAAGGAUCACAAAGUCCAACCCCUGGCUCCAUACAGAACCAGCCAAAGCUCAGACCCUAUCUGAGAGCAGUGUCCAAAAGCUUCCUGAGCUCCAGCAGCUCAGUGCCGUGACCACUGACCUGUUCCACACCUACUGCCCUCCCUCUGAAGAGCCCUUUCCCAGUAGCCAACCUGAGACCUCCCUACGCAGCUCCACGCCAUUCCCUCAGGUCCCAUCAUUGCCACCAGAGAGCAGAGAUCAGUGCUGCCCCACAUUUUGAAAAGCACAGCCUAUACCCUGCCUUUAUGGAGAAAGAAGGCAGAGCUGCUUGCUCUGUGUGUUUGAAACUGGAGCAUUACUGAAUGGCUCACAGAGCAUCUGCAGUCCCUCCACGCUGUUACAGCUCCUCUUUGUUCAUGAACCAUUUACACAUCACUUCUGAUUCCUGUAGACAUUUACAACCAUUAGUUCCAAUAUAAAAUAAUCAGCUUCCGUGAUCCCACAAUGGGGCUGUCCUGUACAAUGCAGGGCAAAAACUGAAAUGUGAGGGCAUUAUAGCAGUGCCAGCCCUUUCUGAAUAGCAGGAGGAAAACAACCCAGAGGCUCUAUAUCUGAUUUCCCUUCCAUGAGGAUCCAGGUGCAUAUUUUCUGCACAUCUCAGUGUCCCAGCAGCAUUACUCACUGCUCCUGUUGGCAUCACAGGCAGCUGAGAGCAGUGGCUCCCAUGCCCUUGUCGCUCAGCUGCUGUCGAGGCUCAGAGUCACAGUUAAGCACAGAGCCUCCAAUUAGUCACAAAAAGUGAAACAGUCUUUCAGGAGAAUUAAGUUGGUGCAAAGGAGUGAAUCACAGCAGAGAUAAUAUCCAGGGCAACUUUAACUGAAAAGAGAUAGUGGAGGAGAGUAAAUCACUCCCUGAGCACAGCCAGGCUGAAUUGAUCACAGCUGCUAUACGAUGCAGGGUGGCAAUAACAACUAUUCCAGGGCUGUGCUCUGUGCCUGAUGGAGAAAAUCUGGGGCAGGGCGCUGGGCAGGAAGGGAGCUGCUGGAACCAAGGAACACAGCCAUGUGGAGGAGGCCAGAGAGGUGUCCUCACCCCGAGGGAACCCCACUUCUCAUCUCUCAGGUUUCAUUCUCAGAGGACAUCAGCCCUGGCACAUGGCAAUCCACCCAAGCUCAAAGCUACGUUCUUUUCUUAUAAGUGCUUAGGAAAGAGGGUCUUCAGUCAAUAGUGAUAAAGUUGGAGUGUUUUGUGUGUGUGUAUAUACACAAACCUCAAUGCUGGCAUCAGUUAUUUAUCUUACAGAAUUCACAGAAUCACAGAAUAUCCUAAGCUAGAAGGGACCCAUAAGGAUCAUUGAGUCCAACUCCUUGAAGAGUGCAUUAAAUUCAAAAGAUGCCCAUUCUGCCAGCCCUUUUGCUUUCCUUUUUUCCCAUGGAUUAUGUUGAUAAGGACUACAGAGCCUGAAUUCUACAUUUGGAGAGAGGCUUUCCCAAAGAUCUUAGAGGUGGGAAAAAGAGAAUAAGAAGUGGCUGGAGGGUGAAGAGUUAAGGAACCCGUAGCUUGAGCUGCUCUCGAGGGAGACAGGAAAGCUGUAGAGAUUUGGCACUACAUGCAGAUCCCAAAAAUUAGAUCAUAGCACAUAAUUAUCCUCCAAACUGGUCCCGGUGCCAAAAUCUUAAUAUCUGGGAUUGUUAUAAUUUGAAGUCAUGUAGGAAAUCCAGAGUUCCAAUCAAUUGCAUUCCCAUGCCCAGUCGCUCCCUGUCCUUGCCCGUUUUACAAUAAAACAUACCUGGCAUUGUGUGCAGAGUGAGUAACGAUUCCUGUGCAGAAAGGGAAGAGAGAGAAACACGGAGAACUCUCCCAGGCACUGCAGGCAGCGGGCAGGCAGUGCUGGCACGAUGCGGCCGUGACUCAGCCCUGCGUUCCUCUGCCAGUGGCCGCUGCCUCUUCCACCCCAUCCUGCUCCUUUCGGGACACAGUUUGCAACGUGCAUGCAAAAUCUGCUGCAGUUCUUAUUAGCUCAGCUUGUGUCUUUCUGUCAGGAUGCACCCGGCUCUUCUAAAAUCUCAGCACUUGCACAGGGCUGAAUUCAGUGCAGCCGUUCCUAAAAAAAAAAGGUCGCUGCACAAUGUCCCACAGACUCUCAGGAAUCCAACCAGAAGAGAACGUGAACUUUGCAUCACAGUGCCAGGGGGACAACAAUGCUUUCUUUGGGCAAUAAGUGGGAGCAGGAUGGGGUCCAUCACCCCUGGGAUGGCACAGGGAGCAGGCACAAGGCUUGUUCCAGCACUAAGCACUACACUUCCCUACAUGCACGCACACAGUUCGGCAUGCCACCACCCCAAUGAGCAGCUCUGCAGGCUGGUGGCACCAAACCAGCUUUUCUAUAGCAGCGAGCUGGGGGUGGAAGAUGUUCUGCAGGCAGAGGUGCUGUUAUCUGUGAAUUGGGUGCUGCUAGGAAUAGGAAGCUCAGCCAAGGACGAGCUACCAGAGCUUCUAGUGAGGAAAACAGCAGUGCAGGGGCAGCUGAGCCUGCAGUGAUGAAGGGCAGGACAUGCCUUGCGAUCUGGGCUUUUUUUUUCCCACUUCCUGUUUAUAGGUUGACUGCAUUUCCCCAGCGUUUGAACUUCUCCGUCACGCUGUUUCUCUGCUGCUGCUGACACUGAGUGAGAAUUAAUAAGCUUCCUCUGAGCAAAUAUCUUUAUUUAAACAAGCUGCUGCCCUGCCAGCAGCCCGCUGGUGAAUGGCAUUUUGCAGCAGGCAGGAUGUGGGCAGAGCUCCCCAGCAGCACCAGCAAUGAUCCCAGGUGCUCUCAGCAUUGCAAUAGAAGCACCUGUGCUGAAGGAGUAUUUGCAGGGUUGCUUUCUUUUUUUUCCUCCUUUCCAUCGAAGGAGGCUGAACAUGACUGAGGAUCUGGCUCCAGUCUCUGGUACUACACAGUUGACCUCAAGCCUGGUGAAUUCUUCCAAAAACCCGGCCUGCCUUGCCCCCCAGCCCCAGUCUUCCAACUGUCGUGAGCAGUGGAGCAAGGAGGUGGCAGCUGUGUUUUUGGCUUUUCCUGCAUUGAAUUAUACUGCAGUGAUCUCCAAACAAGACAUUUCUCAAUCAGACGUGAAAUGUUUGUUUUCCUGUUCAAAAAAUUAAUCUGCUGCCCGUGGUAUGCAUGGCAUCUUGCAUAUUUCUCUCCCUACUCACUGUCAAGUGACUUGAUAAUUCCAACAGAAACUGCCACAAAAGCUGGAAGUCAGAUGGUCUGCAACUUAAUUAAUCAAUCAGUUUACUAUAUUAGCAAACUUAAAGGAAUUCUGAUGCGGACCCAAUGCUUAAAUCUGCUGCGACAUCUGCAGUCAAUCAUGCUUACAUUACCCAUUAACAAAUUACAUCUGUGCUAAGCAAGAUACCCUGUGGUUCCACCAUGCAGAGAGCUGGAGGACCACGGGCACCAGGACGAGCAAGGCACAAAGGAGAGAGGUUACAGCAGAACAGGUCAUGUACAGCCCUGUGGUUUCUGCAGGCUCCGCUCCUGCUCGGAUGCCGGUAGCUUUCCAUUCCCACCGCCUGGAGCCGCUUCUCCAAAGUCUGACUAAACGUGUGUGUGUGUAAGGGGAAAUGAUUAACUCUGACCAUCUAUAGAAUGAAAUUCUUCCUACUUAAAGGUACUCCUGACAAAGCUGACUGGGAAGAAUUGCUAUGGUGGUUUCAAAUAGAGCAUACUGCACUUUUUCCAAAAACUUCUUUGAUAUUUUUUGUGAAGAGUAAAGAGUGGUUUCUGCAAAGGAAUAUCUGCCAUCUCGCUGCAAAUAAUCAUUGGAUUAUGGUUUUAAUUCUAAAAACAUACAUACCCACAGUUGCCCCACUGAAAAUAAAAUCCUUUUUAUCAAUUGAAUAUGCUGGACCUGAAAACAAGGUGACAGUCCUUAACAACAAGGCUCAGACCAUUAAGUUUUUGUUCUCUUUUGUCUCAAAAAAGGUAUUCAGGACUCGGACAUUCAUGUAAAAUGUCCUCCUAGCUCUCCACCCCCACCGGAGAUUUUAAACAAACGUUAAAGAAGGAAAGGAAUAGCAUAAGCAAAUUUCAAGGGACAGGAUGAAUUACAACCCAUCUGUAGUUUUUUUCCCAUUCUGCUGACAAUCUACACUGAACUCUGUCUGCGUUGUUGUGCAGAAAUGUGCCGGUGGAUUCUUGCUGAAGUUAUCCAUAGUCAUCUGAGCAGCCCAUAGGGCACUGCUGUCACAGUGACUGCCUCCAAGGCCACAGCAAAGCAGCCCUGUGCCAGUGGGGCCAAAGCUGUAGCAAAAACUAAACCCCAGAUGCUGGCUUUUCCUUUUCCUGAGUCACUGCUGUGCCCAUGCCAUCACCCUGCAGCUCUCUACAGGUGCCUGGGGAAUAUUCAGGGAAGGGCACAACACCAGUUGAACAAGAUGCUUUCCCAGUUUUGCCCCAUUGGAUGCACUGCAAGUCACCCCAGAGCCUUGAGUGAUGCCAUUCCGAGGCACAUGCAGAGCAAGUCCCUUUCUUCCUGUAAACAGAAAGAGAUGUUUUCAGUUUACAUGCUUCCAGUUUACAUUGCAUGGAAGGCUUAUGUAAGUAACAGGGGAAAAGAAAAAAACUUAAUGAAUUCAUAACAGCCCGGCUAGGCACGGCCUCCAGAGCUAAACCUGUCAGGAUCUGGCCCAAGGAGGAUGCUCACUGGGAGACCUGACAAGCAAGACUGCGGAACUACAAGGAUUUAUUGUACACCAAAAUAAUUCCUAUGCUCACUGAGCAAAGCUGCUGCCACAGAGUAACUGCUUUCAAAAGUAUUUUCCAUCAUGAUCUCCAAGUCCCUUUUCUUGCCCAGAUUCCAUCACAACAAACAGCCCAAGGAUUUAUAUGCCUCUCGCUUACCUUGUGAUGACAGCCUGACACACGGGUUGCACAGAGGGAGGAGAGGAAGGGUUCAGCUCUCCUGUGCCCAAGCCAGGCUGAGGGCUGAGGGCAGAGGUCCUGGAAUGGGGCUUGCUGCUGUCCUGGGUCUGCUGGCUCUGCUCUAAGAGCAGAGAAAGGUGAGAAAUAUCAACACCAAACUACCUAGAUCUUUUUCAAGCACAAUAGGAAGCACUUGAAGAAGUGUCACAUCACUCACUUGUAGCAAAUGGUAAACUUACGCACUUUAGAAAGAGAAGAUGUAGGGUAAUGAUGGGGACGUUUGAGGUCCUCAUUCUGUUUUCAUGUGCAUAUGCCCAAAACAGACAAAAUAUCAUCUCCAGAUAAAAGAGAGAUUUGUUGUCUCAGCAGUUCCUGAUCUGCUGCUCAGUGGUAGAAGCAGCUUAGCCAAAACCAUCACCAUCUUGCUGAUGUGCAUACUUACAGACAAAGAGAGAAUUCAUCUUACACAGCUCCAAGGUGUCCAAGUGUUGGCUGAUGAAUCCUGGGCUUGUGCAUGGCCUUCCUUUAUUUUUUGUGAAGAACAACAGGCACCUCCAGAAUUUCCUUCUGACCAACAGUACAUAAGGAUGAGACCAAACUGCACCUUCAACUCUAUGAUUGUUUUGGUUCCCUUCCAACUUGGGAUGUUCUAUGAUUCCAAUGGGCUGCAAAGGGCUGCUGGGUAAUGAGCCAGACUGUGUCAGCACCGUAUCUGCAGGAGUAUAGUAAUAAUGCAAGAAAAUUGUAUUAAUUGUAUUGUCAUAGCAAUCGAAAUUCCCAAAUAGCAUCUCUGUGCCACAGCCCAUCCAUGUAUCUCCUCCUGCUGAUAAAGACAGCAUGGAAAUGAGAGGAGGGACUAUCAAGAAAGGUGUCUGUGAUAAGCAGCACUCAAAAAUUGCAAAUGCAAUAGAAAGAGAAAGACGUGGCUGUACUAAAGAUCAGGGGAUAAAUGACAGUGGGUGUAGUGAGUGCUGAAGACUGUGGAAGAUACAAAGGCACAAAAAGAAAAGCAGAGAGCCUGCCUCGUGCUGGGAUCUCAGCUCACCCCACUGCACGGAGGAGCAGGUGCAGAGGAAGAUGUGGGGCAAACAGGGUGGUGGAGAAGAAUCAGAAAUAGCUUUGUUUAGGCUCGGAAAAGGAGGGAAAGGCUUGGAAAAGGAUUGCUUUCUAUAAAUAACCGAUGUAACCCCUCAGGGAAGGGAGAUAGUUAUUUAAGCUGAAGGACAAUGUUGGCCUGGAAUCAAACUGGUUGUGAGUAAAUAGAGGGGGGAAACAUGAAGCAGGUUUCUGAGCAUCACAGGAAAGAUGUUCUGAAACAACUUUCCAGGCGCAGCAGGAACCUGAGCGCUUCUAAAUCCGCUGGAGCAGGAAAUGGAUCUCCGUGCCAAGAUAUCUUUGCCAAUGGCAAAUUUUACCCUGCCUCAGAAAAUCAGACUGGAUGAAAUCCUGAGAGAUAGCUGAUAGCUUGAUAGCUUGACCGAAGACAGGUCUGCUCCUUCUGAUGGGAAGAGGGCUGUGCCCUGUAAAUAGCCACAUGUGACAUCCGAUGGCUUCUUUGUCCUUCGCUGUCCCAGUUAUUGCAGCAUUUUGUUGUUAGGACAGGCAUUUUUCCCCUUUAUCUUCCCUCUAUGUCCCUUUCCAUUGCUGGGCUGCUGGCAGCUGAUGGACCACUGUGGGACGGGUGGGAUGCUGGGGCCUGGGAAACAAAUGCCUGGAGAAACCUUGGUCAACAAAGUCUAUGGAAACAAAACAAAAACAAGACCAGUAACACUGUUUUGAACGUUGCUGUUUAGUAAACGUGGAAACUGAGGAAACUGGGCUCUACGUUCCUUUCCUUUGAUUAGCCUUUUUUUACAGGACAGUCUACAGAGGAAUUGGUGAUACAGGAAAAGGCCACAUUCCCACAAAAACUGCAGUGCACACAUUCCAGCAGCAG